GUGCCGACCAAGUCCAUAAGCUUUCGGUGCAGCAACACCCAAAGCGAGCCCCUCUGAUAGUGCAUGGAGGGCAACUGCAGCACAGCACAAAAUUGACUGAAGAGUGAGACCACUCACUGGCAAUCCUGUUACAGCAGAUAAAGCAUCUGCUGAAGUCCUCUUGCGACUUCCAAUUUUAAUGACACUAGAAGUUGAAAAAUGGGAAAGUG
rnacentral:misc_RNA from 1 species